rnacentral:tRNA from 1 species
CGCGUUAGCUCUGUUGGUAGAGUGCUCCACAUGAAAUGUAGAGGUCCCUGGUUCGAUACCAAGACUAAGCGA